UACAGAGGUCUCAAGCGUUGUUCGGAUUUAUUGGGCGUAAAGCGUGCGUAGGCGGCUAGGUAAGUGAGGUGUGAAAUCCCAGGGCUUAACCCUGGAACUGCACUUUAUACUGCCUUGCUCGAGGGCUGGAGAGGAGACUGGAAUUUACGGUGUAGCAGUGAAAUGCGUAGAGAUCGUAAGGAAGACCAGUGGCGAAGGCGAGUCUCUGGAAAGCUGCUGACGCUGAGGCACGAAGGCCAGGGGAGCAAACGGG
rnacentral:rRNA from 1 species